rnacentral:rRNA from 1 species
UUUACUGACACUAAAGCUCGAAAGGUGCGGGGUAUCGAAACAGGAUUAGAUACCCUGGUAGUCCGCACGGUAAACGAUGGAUGCCCGCUGUUUGCGAUAUAGUGUGAGCGGGCAAGCGAAAGCGUUAAGCAUCCCACCUGGGGAGUACGCCGACAACGGUGAAACUCAAAGGAAUUGACGGGGGCCAGCACAAGCGGAGGAACAUGUGGUUUAAUUCGAUGAUACGCGAGGAACCUUACCCGGGCUUGAACUGCCGGCGAACGAUACAGAGAUGUUGAGGCCCUUCGGGGCGCCGGUGGAGGUGCUGCAUGGUUGUCGUCAGCUCGUGCCGUGAGGUGUCGGCUUAAGUGCCAUAACGAGCGCAACCCCUCUCUUCAGUUGCCAUCACUUCGGGUGGGCACUCUGGAGACACACCACCGUAAGGUGUGAGGAAGGUGGGGAUGACGUCAAAUCAGCACGGCCCUUACGUCCGGGGCUACACACGUGUUACAAUGGGUGGUACAGAGCGUCGGCCGCCGGCAACGUCGGUCCAAUCGUGAAUCCAUCCUCAGUUCGGACUGGGGUCUCAACCCGACCCCACGAAGCUGGAUUCGCUAGAAU